rnacentral:rRNA from 1 species
UACAGAGGUCUCAACCGUUGUUCGGAUUCAUUGGGCGUAAAGGGUGCGUAGGCGGUCGUGCAAGUCGGAUGUGAAAUCUCAGGGCUCAACCCUGAAACUGCAUUCGAUACUGCGUGGCUAGAGUGCUGGAGAGGAGACUGGAAUUUACGGUGUAGCAGUGAAAUGCGUAGAUAUCGUAAGGAAGACCAGUGGCGAAGGCGGCCGGCUGGGCCGUUCCUGACGCUGAGGCGCGAAGGCGUGGGGAGCGAACAGG